GAUGAACGCUAGCUACAGGCUUAACACAUGCAAGUCGAGGGGUCUCGCGGGAGCUUGCUCCCAAGAGACGACCGGCGCACGGGUGAGUAACGCGUAUCCAACCUGCCCUUCAUAUUGGGAUAGCCUUCCGAAAGGAAGAUUAAUACCGAAUAACAUAGAGUGGUUGCCUGAUUUCUCUAUGAAAGCUCCGGCGAUGAAGGAUGGGGAUGCGUUCCAUUAGGUAGUAGGCGGGGUAACGGCCCACCUAGCCAACGAUGGAUAGGGGUUCUGAGAGGAAGGUCCCCCACACUGGAACUGAGACACGGUCCAGACUCCUACGGGAGGCAGCAGUGAGGAAUAUUGGUCAAUGGGCGCAAGCCUGAACCAGCCAAGUAGCGUGAAGGAUGACUGCCCUAUGGGUUGUAAACUGCUUUUGCGGGAGAAUAACCGGCGCCACGCGUGGCGCCCUGCAUGUAUCCCGNGAAUAAGGACCGGCUAAUUCCGUGCCAGCAGCCGACGG
rnacentral:rRNA from 1 species